rnacentral:rRNA from 1 species
AGCGAACGCUGGCGGCGUGCCUAACACAUGCAAGUCGAACGUGAAAAGGGAAACCUGAGUAAAGUGGCGUACGGGUGAGUAACGCGUAGGUAAUCUACCCCAGAAUCUGGAAUAACCUGCCGAAAGGCGGGCUAAUACUGGAUAGAGCGAGGGAACUCGUAAGAGAGUUUUUCGGGAAAGGGAGCCCGCAAGGGCCUUCGUUCUGGGAUGAGCCUGCGUCUCAUUAGCUAGUUGGUAAGGUAACGGCUUACCAAGGCGAUGAUGAGUAGCUGGUCUGAGAGGAUGAUCAGCCACACUGGAACUGAAACACGGUCCAAACUCCUACGGGAGGCAGCAGUGGGGAAUCUUGCGCAAUGGACGAAAGUCUGACGCAGCCACGCCGCGUGAGUGAAGAAGGCCUUCGGGUUGUAAAGCUCUGUCGGAUGGGACGAACAUCUUCAUAGUGAAUAGCUAUGAGGACUGACGGUACCAUCAAAGGAAGCACCGGCUAACUCCGUG